rnacentral:lncRNA from 1 species
CUGAUAAGCGUAUAAAAAAUGACCGUCCAUAUUUCUUUCUCGAUAUCAAUCCUACCGAUUGGUAUCGAUCAAUACGAUAGAUUAAAUGUGAAAAUAGUAACACAUGUCCUUCGUGUCGUAAUACACACAACUCGAUUAUACUAUACUUAUUAUAUAUAUUAUUAUUAUUAUAUGCUAGGAUUAAACAAGAAAAAAAGUAAUAUGUAAAAUCGAAAAGACUUAUUUAUAGAUCGAUAAGAAAGAUGUUCUCAAAAAGAAGAUUAAAAGUUUUUGAAGUUCAAGACAUGGACUACGAAGUGAAACGCGACGAUGGUUGGGUCACAGGAGCGGACACUGUUAUGGUUAGCUGGUUCGAAAAGAAGGGCUGUAUUACGUAUUCCAUUCUGUCUAACAUGACAUACAAAUACUCUCCAAGUUGUAACACUUUAACCAUAUCGCGGGAAUUAUAAGACAUAAUUUCAAACUAUUCGAACGAUAUCUUGUUUUUUGAACUAUCGCUGCAAUUAAAUGAAAUAAAAACAAAA